CUGUCACUGUUCCUGCUACAACUUCUGUUACUACCACUGUGGCCGGUACUACCACCGCAACAACUGGAGAACCUGUCACUGUUCCUCCUACAACUUCUGUUACUACCACUGUGGCUGGUACUACCACCACAACAACUGGAGAACCUGUCACUGUUCCUGCUACCAUUCCUACAACUAGGCCCACAACUACAGUGUCAAGGAAAGCAUCACCACUGUCAAUAACUACCAGCACAGCUCCAACUACCACAACAACCAACGCAACAACCACUACUACAACAACAACUACUACUACAAGUACAACAACUACAACUGCACGUCCUCGACUUGCUCCACUGGUGGCUUUCGUCAUACAAGAAGUGUUUGUAGAAGCUUUAAAUGACCCUCAAAGUACACAAUUCCAAGAACUUGCAGUAACUAUUACUGCAGUGUUUGAUGUGAUCUACAAAGCAAAAUAUGGGAUCCUCUUCAUCCGGACGAUUGUUCUUGGAUUCACACCUAUUUUCCAUUCCC